CCUAGGCCGCACUAGUAAAUUCCCCAAAGGAAAACCACUUUAGGAAGCCUAAUCUAUCGCACACUCUCACUGGCAGUUCCCCGAGCGUUCGAACCAAAGUCAUCGCAUGCAUGGCGCGCAGCAUUAAUAUAAAUCUCCGGUGCUCCACCGACACGCGGCGUUUUGGUGACACAUGUCAUCUCCAGUUUCAAUCACCAAACCCUCGUUCUCCUCUCCUGCUUAAACUCUUUCGCUCCUCUAUCAGUCGUCACCCCAAAAAAGAUCUCGUAUUCCUGUACUCGGCGCCCUAGUUUUGUUACUGUGAUGUCACACAUGGCUACGGAAGAGGAGCAGAUUGCCGACGAUCGAAUGCUUGUCUUUGUGCCACCCCAUCCCUUGAUUAAGCACUGGGUUUCAGUUUUGAGAAACGAGCAAACUCCUUGUCCCAUUUUCAAGAAUGCAAUGGCUGAGUUGGGGAGGCUCCUAAUGUACGAAGCUUCUAGGGAUUGGUUGCCUACUGUCACAGGGGAAAUUCAGUCACCUAUGGGUGUUGCCUCAGUUGAAUUUGUUGACCCAAGAGAGCCUGUUGCGGUUGUUCCAAUUCUGAGAGCUGGUCUUGCUCUUGUUGAGCAUGCAGCAUCAAUCUUGCCUGCUACAAAAACAUUCCAUCUAGGUAUAAGCAGAGACGAAGAGACACUUCAGCCAACAAUAUAUCUGAAUAAGUUGCCUGAAAAGUUUCCGGAUGGUUCACGAGUUUUCGUAGUAGAUCCUAUGCUUGCAACAGGUGGAACCAUUGUGGCAGCUAUCAACCUCUUGAAGGAAUGUGGGGUUGAAAACAAGCAGAUUAAAGUGAUAUCUGCUGUGGCCGCUCCUCCAGCCCUUAAAAAGCUCAGUGAGAAGUUCCCUGGGUAAUAUAAUAGUAAUAUUCAGUUUUCAUAGACUUGAUUAUUCCUGAAGCCUGAGCCUUUUCUGUUUCUUGCUUUUGGUGUUUUCAGACUUCAUGUCUACACUGGAGUCGUCGAUCCUACUGUCAAUGACAAAGGAUUUAUAGUUCCUGGACUUGGAGAUGCAGGAGAUCGUAGCUUUGGUACAUAAAGAUCAUCUGAAGUGACACAUAAAAAAUAUGAACCGAAUCUGGGUGCAUGCAAUUCUUAAUUCUUGGUUUUUUUCCAUUCGAAUUUUGAUUUAUUGAGCCUGUGAACAAUUCUGAAAGCAUUCUUGGGUUUUUACCCACGAUCAGUUACCUGAUUUCUUAGCUUUGUUUGCUGCAAAACAUGAGCAGAAACUGAAAUCUGGAUUGUGUAAAUUAGUUGUAGAAUACAAUAUUUAUUGGAUUCCUUAUUACAUUGAA